rnacentral:rRNA from 1 species
GACGAACGCUGGCGGCGUGCCUAAUACAUGCAAGUCGAACGAGAGCGCCCGGUGCUUGCCCUGGCCAAUCUAGUGGCGAACGGGUGAGUAACACGUGGGUAACCUGCCCAUCAGAGGGGGAUAACAUCCGGAAACGGAUGCUAAAACCGCAUAGGUCUUCGAACCGCAUGGUUUGAAGAGGAAAAGAGGCGCAAGCUUCUGCUGAUGGAUGGACCCGCGGUGCAUUAGCUAGUUGGUGAGGUAACGGCUCACCAAGGCCGUGAUGCAUAGCCGACCUGAGAGGGUGAUCGGCCACAUUGGGACUGAGACACGGCCCAAACUCCUACGGGAGGCAGCAGUAGGGAAUCUUCCGCAAUGGACGCAAGUCUGACGGAGCAACGCCGCGUGAGUGAAGAAGGUUUUCGGAUCGUAAAACUCUGUUGUUAGAGAAGAACAAGUGCUAGAGUAACUGUUAGCGCCUUGACGGUAUCUAACCAGAAAGCCACGGCUAACUACGUG